UCUGGUACAAGAGAUGUAUUAGUAGGAUGGGUAGUAGGUCCAAGAUGGAAGUAAUAAUUACGUUAGGAAAAGAU
rnacentral:tRNA from 1 species